GUUGUUUUAAUUUAUUUAUGUGUUUUUUAUAGUAUGCUUCUGCUUUGGGGACAACGAGAUCUGUUCUUUUGCAAAUGGCAACAAGCGCUGUGUAUGUAAAAAGGGAUAUGCGAGAGACAAAUAUUAUUAUGACAAAUGUAAAGAAUGCCUUUGCGACGGAGAAAACGAGGUUUGUUCUUUUCUGGAAGGCUACAAAAACUGUGAUUGCAAAGUGGGAUAUUUGAGAGAUGAAAAUGAUAGUAACAAAUGUAAAGCUUGCCCUUGCAUCGGAGAAAAUGAAUUCUGUUCUUUUGUAAAUGGCAGCACAAGCUGUGAAUGCAGAAAGGGAUACGUGAGAGACAACUAUUUUGAUAACAAAUGUAAAA